AAAAUUUUAGUUUAAUUUAUUAAAAUAUUUCUUUUACAAUGAAAAGAUUAAAUAUUUAAAUAUUUAAAAUUUUA